rnacentral:lncRNA from 1 species
AGACAUUUUUCCUGCCAAAGACAAAUUAAUAUGUCAUCAGGAGAGGUUUGUGACACCAAGGUCAGGUCAGUCUGGAGCAUAUAUCUUGGAGUUGUCUUUGGCAGCAAUAACAACAGCUUUGUGGAUUCCCAGCCUGGAGUUAUUCAGGCAUUCAUAUAACUGCUUAAGUUACAGAAAAGCCUUUGUUGGCACUAGCUACAGAACCUGGCACAGUUUGGAAACUAUAUUGCCCAUAUGUGCUUUCUGGGUCCCAGAUCUAUGGAAUAGAGGAAUGCUUCUGACAAAUUUCAUGGGAACAGGGAUCCUGUUUGCAGUCCCAAGGCAAAAGGGAGCCUUUGUGGCUAUAGACAAGCAAAGGCAAUCAAGUAAAACUUCUAGGGCAGAGUGGUUGUGACUAUAGGAGAACAGGACACCUGGUCACAGUACUAAGGACAAGAAAAGUUCUUCACUUGGACCUGCUGGAGAACAGGGACGCUUCCUGGAUAAAGUAUAGAGCACAGAUGAGGGGAAGAGAGAUCACACCUCUCCCCAAAUCACACCAUCUUAUUUCAACUAGAGAGUUCUCAGUAUUCAGAAUGCACAGAAUAUCCCAUGCAAGAUUCUGCAUGAAGAGUGGGGUUGAAAGACCUUCAGCCACAGGAGAAACAUAAAGUAAAAUCAGUGAUCAAUCAGGUGUUCUUCAGCCACCAGAGUCAACCUGGAGAUUGGAAAAAGAAUUGUCACUUCAUGUAUAAGAGCUGGAGAAUUAACAUGUUAGAAUACAUCAAAUAUACACCCUCAGAAUUACUAUCUAGUACACAGGAGAGUAGAAGGUGGGACAAGAGAAGUAAAUACAUUAUUUGCAACUAUCCAGAUGAACAACCUUUGCUUAAAUGUGUACAUGUGAGUAAUCAUUUCCCAAAUCUUUCAAAUGGAAGAAUAGCAUAUUAAUUUUUCCAGCUGAUUUUUUUUUUAUUUCGCUGACAAAACCUUAUAUAUUU